UCGUGAGAUUUUGAUGAAAUUGGUUUGUAAUGAAUUAAUGUUAUUAGAGUACCAUCUAAAAAAGGAGGAGGAAAUCUUGCCGGCAAAAAGGAGAAGACUACGUUAUGCGAAGUCAGUUAAACCAAGAUUGAAGGGAUUUGCUUGUAUCUCUCUUAUCUUAACUGAGAGAUUGAUACUGCCGACAGAUGUUAGAUGAGACCAUGUCAAUAGAAGACAUGAUCAUAACAAGCUAUAUAUUUCUUGAUUUCUAAUUCUGUCAAUAUCAUCUUCGCUGUCCAAUUUAUAAUUAGCACCACCUAUGUGAGAGACUGAUACGGGUGUUAAAUAUCCCUCUUAUUUUCACCCUUCGGGUUCUUUCCCUUCAGUCUUGCCAAAAGGCCUGACAAUAUUCUUCGCGAGGGCCAUAAUUUACGAAGUGCUUGAUUCUCCUGGUACUACGGAAAUCACAAAUAGGUCACCACCAUUGCAAAAUUUAGCCAUGGCUGAUACUAUGUCUGGACCGCUUGAUCGAGAUAUCAAAGGGGGUCUUGAGAAAUCCGACGCUGAAUAUUCCGAGGAUGAUAGGAAGACCAAGCUUGGAUCAUUGAAAAAGAAGGCAAUUAGUGCCUCGAACAAGUUCAGGAAUUCUUUGACAAAGAGAGGCCGGAGACACAGUAGAGUAAUGUCUAUUGCAAUUGAAGAUAACCUUAAUGCUGAGGAAUUACAGGCAGUGGAUGCGUUUCGCCAAGCACUUAUUUUGGAUGAACUACUACCCUCUAAGCAUGAUGAUCACCAUAUGAUGCUAAGAUUUUUAAGGGCCAGGAAAUUUGAUAUUGAGAAAGCAAAGCAAAUGUGGUCUGAUAUGCUCAGUUGGAGGAAGGAAUUCGGUGCUGACACAAUCAUGGAGGACUUUGAGUUCAAGGAAAUCGAUGAAGUCUUGAAACACUAUCCACAAGGAUAUCAUGGAAUUGACAAGGAAGGAAGACCAGUUUACAUUGAAAGACUGGGUGAGAUUGACGCUAACAAGCUUAUACAGGUCACGACAUUGGAUCGGUAUAUGAAAUACCAUGUACAGGAGUUUGAGAAAACCUUCAAUGUCAAGUUUCCGGCCUGUUCAAUCGCAGCAAAGAAACACAUUGAUCAGAGCACCACUAUUUUGGAUGUGCAAGGAGUGGGGCUUAAGCAAUUCACCAAAACUGCAAGGGAACUUAUUGGCCGCAUUUCAAAGAUUGAUGGUGACAAUUACCCUGAGACCUUAAAUCGGAUGUUCAUCAUCAAUGGUGGUCCUGGAUUCAGGCUUUUGUGGAGCACUGUUAAACAGUUCAUUGACCCCAAGACUGCCCAAAAAAUCCAUUUUCUGGGUAACAAAUACCAGAGCAAGUUGCUUGAAGCAAUUGAUGCUAGUGAGUUGCCGGAGAUUUUUGGUGGUACCUGCACCUGUGCCGACAAGGGUGGUUGUAUGCGUUCUGAUAAGGGUCCAUGGAAUGAUCCCGACAUCUUAAAGAUGGUUCACAAUGGUGAAGCCAAAUGCCACAGGAAAACAUUUUCAGGAAUUCAUGAGAAGGGAAUCUCCGAGGAUGAUCAGCCAUGCAUAAAGAAAAACAUUUCUUUCAGCAAAGAAGUAACUGUUGAUGCUGCUGAUUAUGGCCAUCCAAAGAAUCAUGUAGAACAUGCAAUUCUUUCUCCAGUUCCUGAAUCUCCCUUGAGCAAGAGGUGCAGUAGCGACCAAGACUAUGAGAACUCCAUUCCAAUGGUGAAAAGGACCAUCGAUACUGCUUGGCCUACACCAUUGAAUAAUAGAGAUGGGCUCUCUAAAGAAUGCCCCCCAGUGCAUGGUGCUUGCAAGGCUCAAGGAGGGAGCACUCAGAUAUUAAAUGGGAUACUGACUGUUGUGAUGGGAAUUGUCACCAUGGUUCGCAUAUCACGCAACAUGCCUAGGAAACUUGCUGAGGUUGCUGCUUAUGGCAGUCAAGUCUACUACGCUGAUGAGAUGGCUAAAAGCCACGUGCUGGCAGCACCAUCCAUCUCUACUUCUGAAUACAAGAACAUCAUGUUGCGCAUGGCUGAAAUGGAAGAGAAGCUGUGUGUUCUCAGUUCAAAACCUCAAGCCAUGCCCGCUGAGAAAGAGGAAAUGCUGAAUGCUGCGAUCAAGCGAGCAGAUUCCCUAGAGCAAGAGCUAUCAAUGGUCAAGACGGUACCUACUCGAUUUUCUUUCAUUUUAUCCGGAGCUGUUGCCUGUAUGAAAAUAUCAGCCUUGUGUAAUGUUCGAGCUGAUUUCUUUCGUUAUGUUUUUUCUUGUACAGGCACUUGAGGAUGCCGUUGCAAAACAGCAGGAACUCCUAGCCUACAUCGAAAAGAAAAAGAAGAAAAAGAGUAUUUUUGGAUUUUGAAUCAAGAGUUCAUGCUGAUGAGGCAAUAGAUAGACACUGCACUUACGAUGGUGGCCGCAGAGAUUUCUAGCCCCAUAAUACCUGAGUGUUUUCAGUCUUCAGACCUUGUUUGCUUUUUAUAACACCAACUCAAAGUCCAUGUAUAUUAUAUGGUUAUUAUAAAAUCAUCCUCGUGAUUCUGUAAAUUAUACAAACACCGACCCUUUCAGUGUGAUGAGAGCAUUCUGUGGUAGGAUUGAUAUACAUUUUACCUCAUUACCACACGGAUGUUCAGGGCAAUGCAAGGGUUGAGAUUAAUUAAAGUUUUAACUUUAAAUGAAAAAUAAAUAAAUUCUAUAUUUCUGUCA